rnacentral:lncRNA from 1 species
AUUGUGAAACAACAGACACCUUUAUUUAAGGCAUAGCUAUCCUUUUUAUGUCACGACCCAAUUUAGGAUUGUGACCGGCGCUCCCAAGUAAGUCUCUUCAGAAAUUUUACAAAAAGUCGGACAGAGUUUCUCCUGUUUUUGGACCAUCCCAAAAUUUUUUUUGUCUUAAAUCAACAACCAAACAUCCUAAUAUCAUACCAAACAAUUGACAACUUGUCAAUUAACUAAUACAAAUCUUCACCAUAACUAAACCACCAACCAACCGCUAGAAAUACUAAUUUAUCUCCAACUUUGAUAAAUGAGAACGAUACUCAACAUAAGACUAUAAUAACGAAAGAAUACGCAUGACACUAAAAUAAUGACUAUGGAGCGACUCUAAGAGUUCAACGAAAAGACCAUAACAAUAAGUAAAAUCUCUGCCCACGCGAACAAGUGCGAAGCUCACCGAGAAAUAUCAACAUGUGCGCUCUAAUUAACGAAAUCCUCGCCUGCGUCAACUGCUGUCUCUGUAAAAAAAAAUUAGCGGGGAAUAAGUCGCUAGCUUAGUGAGUAAUAACACUUAACCACAAUCGUUUUUAUUGGGGACAAGUCAGAAAACAUGCUAGUAUCUCAAACAGAAGAUAACAUAAAAAUGCCCUUUUAGAAACAAUAAUAAAUUUUCCCUCCCAUCAUGUUCUUUUUGUAGUAUAAUACAAAUAAUAAUAGUAAUAAGCUCGGUAACCACUGUACAAUAUCAAUAUUCACAUUUGGGAGGUUUCAAUGAACGGAUCAUGUAAUCGGUAUAACUGUGGACUUCUUCGCAAGAAGUCAAAUAUAACGGUAGUCCCUACUCGAGGAAAAUCGAUAACGGUAUGCUAGUUCUACCUUCCCACUAGCGAGGGCUAUAACGGUAAUCUGUAAUUACAAGGUGCACCAGGUCUAACGAACCCGCCGUUAGCUACGGGAUCCUUCAAAGUCUACUCCCAUUUAUAUUUGUCUCGGUAAUCCGUAUAUACUCAUAGAAAAUAUUUUAAACCAAUAUUGGGCAUUUCGGUUCUUAUCAAAUCGUAUAAUUUCUUUUCAAUAACAGUAAAUUCAAGUAACGGUAAAACAGAUCUAGUUACAACGAAAAUAUUUAAAAUACGAUAAUCUUCUCAAAUAACUAUUUUGGUAUCAUAUCGAGUAAAAGACUUGUCUCACAUGCAACUCAAAAUAAUCGGUAACAUAUUCAUAUUAAAAAUUAUGUGUAAAUCAUGCAAGUUAUGAAAACACAAAUUGCAGUAAGAUUACUACUCACAGUUUUCGUGCCGAAAUACCAAAUGCUUCACCUCGAGCAAUUCGUACAAAUUCCUCCAAUCAAUCUAUAAUUACAUAAUAUCUAUCUCAUGUUAAUUUCCUUGUUUAGGCUAAUUCAUAGCUAUUUUAGAAACCCAAUCACCGGGGUUCAUGUUUGAAUCUUAAUUUGUGGAUUUAUAUUUACCCAUGUUAUGAGUAAUUUAAAUUAGUCCAAAAAAAAAUCUUGUAAAUAAAAAGGUAUUUAUAUUUAAUCAUAGAACUAGUCCAUAAUUCUAUAAAUUUCAAACUAUUUAAUAUAAUUUAUUCCUCUAGAAGUAGACCUAUCAUUGCUUAAACUAAACCCUUAUAGCCUUGUUAUCUCCAUAGUAAUUGUAUAUUCCUUUUUAUAUAAAAGAAAGUUGAUAUUGAAUUCCUUUGUACCUCAUGAAAUUGCAUAAAUAUAGUGAAAUAAUUCAACAGAUAAGAAGAAGAAGGUUAACCUCUUGAGUCAUACUUUUAAUUUCAACUCCCAAUUCUUCUUAAGGUCUUUGCCCAAAGCUUUUUUCAUCUUCUUUUCUUUUCCCCCCUUUCUUUUUCUCUGAAACCCGCUGCUCCUGUUCUCCUUUUUUUUCGCAGCUUGCUGCUUUCCCCCUUACUGUUUUCUAAGAUUUUUCAGAGAAUGGCUUCGUGCCCUUAUAAAAUCCUUAUUCUUUUUUUUUUUGUG